rnacentral:rRNA from 1 species
CUUUCAGUAGGGAGGAAAGGUUGUAAGUUAAUACCUUGCAGCUGUGACGUUACCUACAGAAGAAGGACCGGCUAACUCCGUGCCAGCAGCCGCGGUAAUACGGAGGGUCCAAGCGUUAAUCGGAAUUUUUCGGCGUAAAGCGUGGGCAGGCGGUUGGUUUAGCGAGAUGUGAAAGCCCCGGGCUCAACCUGGGAAUUGCAAUUCGAUCUGGCAAACUAGAGUCUUGUAGAGGGGGGUAGACUUUCAGGUGUAGCGGUGAAAUGCGUAGAGUUCUGGAGGAAUAUCGGUGGCGAAGGCGGCCCCCUGGACAAAGACUGACGCUCAGGCACGAAAGCGUGGGGAGCAAACAGGAUUAGAUACCCUGGUAGUUCACGCCGUAAACGAUGUCUUCUCGGAGUUUGGUGUGUUGAACACUGGGCUUUCACGCUAACGCAUUAAGUCGAUCGCCUGUGGAGUACGCCCGCAAGGUUAAAACUCAAAUGAAUUGACGGGGGCCCGCACAAGCGGUGGCGCAUGUGGCUUAAUUUGAUGCAACGCGUAGAACCUUACGUACUCUUGACAUCCAGAGAACUUUCCAGAGAUGGAUUGGUGCCUUCGGGAACUUUGAGACAGGUGCUGCAUGGCUGUCGUCAGUUCGUGUUGUGAAAUGUUGGGUUAAGUCCCGCAACGAGUGCAACCCCUAUCCUUAUUUGCCAGCGCGUAAUUGCGGGCACUUUAGGGAGUCUGCCGGUGAUAAUCCGGAAGAAGGUGGGGACGACGUCAAGUCAUCAUGGCCCUUACGAGUAGGGCUACACACGUGCUACAAUGGCGCGUUCAGAGGGUUGCAAAGCCUCGAGGUGGAG